CCUGGGCCAGGCAAUAGGGAUGGCUGCCAUGGAGUGCCCUUUGAAUCCACAGCUGCUUAAUGGUGUCUUUGCUUUUUAUAUGUUGUGUUGUAUCCAUAUGUUAAAACUCUUGCAGUAUCUGCAUUUGUUUGUAGUGAAGGUUUACUAUGUCAUCAGGCCACAUCCGCCAUCUUUACGUGGAAGGGUUAACCUUUCUAUGGUGAAUUUAGGAUGAUAAUUUUUAUGCUUAAAGAAAAUAUCAACUGAAUAUAAAUAUCUGCUGCAAGUUCUAAUAAACAAAAACUCUUCAACAUAACAGAUGAAUUCAUGUUUCAUUUCAUUGAUGAAGUUGAGCAUUUUCCAUGUCUUCAAGUACUCCUUGUUUUAAAUUCUACUAAAGCAUGAUGUGUAGGAUAAUUCAAAUAAAUGAUGUAGCCUGCUUUAAACAAAAAAUAAAAAUUUGCAAUGUUGAUUAGUAAAUAUAGUUUGCAUAUAUACAAUCUGUAAGCUUUAAAUAUAAUUAUAUCCAUGUAAAAUAAUCUUUACAAACAUUUCUCAGAUAUAAAAAUGUUUAAUGUAAAAGCUUUUAGCCAAAAAAUUGGUAAAACUUAACAUAUACUAAAUUGUAACAUCAUAUUUGAUUUAAUCAAAAGCCUGAUAAUAUUCAAAUGAUACAUUAUAUAAAGGAUUUGAAAGGGCCAGGCCUAGACUUUGCAUGGGUAAUAAAUAUAAAGAAAAAUCAUUAUUAAAUCAA